rnacentral:rRNA from 1 species
UACGGAGGGUGCAAGCGUUAUCCGGAUUUACUGGGUUUAAAGGGUGUGUAGGUGGACUUUUAAGUCCGUGGUGAAAUCUCCGGGCUCAACCCGGAAACUGCCAUGGAUACUAUAGGUCUUGAAUGUUGUUGAGGUGGGCGGAACGGGUCAUGUAGCGGUGAAAUGCAUAGAUAUGACCCGGAACACCGAUUGCGAAGGCAGCCCACUAAGCAACGAUUGACGCUGAGGCACGAAAGCGUGGGGAUCAAACAGG